rnacentral:rRNA from 1 species
GACGAACGCUGGCGGCGUGCUUCACACAUGCAAGUCGAACGGAAAGGCCCUGCUUUUGUGGGGUGCUCGAGUGGCGAACGGGUGAGUAACACGUGAGUCACCUGCCCUUGACUUUGGGAUCACUUCAGGCAACUGGGGCUAAUACCGGAUAGGCGCUCCUGCUGCAUGGUGGGGGUUGGAUAGUUUCGGCGGUUGGGGAUGGACUCGCGGCUUAUCAGCUUGUUGGUGGGGUAGUGGCUUACCAAGGCUUUGACGGGUAGCCGGCCUGAGAGGGUGACCGGCCACAUUGGGACUGAGUUACGGCCCAGACUCCUACGGGAGGCAGCAGGGGGGAAUAUUGCACAAUGGGCGGAAGCCUGAUGCAGCAACGCCGCGUGCGGGAUGACGGCCUUCGGGGUGUAAACCGCUUUCGCCUGUGACGAAGCGUGAGUGACGGUAAUGGGUAAAGAAGCACCGGCUAACUACGUG